AUCUCAAUCAGGAGGACUACCCCCCUGAACUUAAGCAUAUCAAUAANGGGGAGGAAAA
rnacentral:rRNA from 1 species